CUUCACAAGACUGUUGUCAAUAGAAGGGAAGCGCACAGAUGCAAGCUGUGCCAAGAAUAAGGAAACAUCUAGAAGUGGGCUUCGCUGAGGUACAGCCAUGCCAGGGAUGCAAAUACUUGCUGGUGAUGGUACUACUAUACACCCAUACUCACCAGGAGAUUUAGUAUCGGUAAAGGAUUGGAAACAGCAGACGGUACCCCGCACCUGGAGAGGGCCAUACACUGUUGUCCUAACCACUCCCAGUGCAGUUAAAGUUGCAGGUAUCACUCCCUGGACUCACCACACUCGGCUCAAGACAGCUGCGGAGGGAAAGGGACACUGGGCGGCCCACACUAAUCCAGAAGAACCCCUGAAGACCCGACUCAUCUUCCAUCGACGACCACAGACCCAGGAUAGAGCUGCUACAGAUGACUCUGCUAUUCCUAGUUGGCAUGACAGCCCUACUGGGACUGCAAACUCAGGAUAAGAUGUUCCUGUCCUGGGCCCACUUGUAUGCGAACUUCCGUAACACUUCUAACUAUUGUGUUUGUGGGGCCAUGCCUUUGUCAGUGAUUGAUGGACCUCCUUGGUUGGUGUCUCCCCUCUGCAGAGGGGACUUUAGCCCCCUCUGUUCUUUUUUUGAGACAACACGGGAAACAUUUCUUUGGUAACUCACAACCUGUCGCUUCUUUCUUCGUGUAAACUGGACUCUAAUCAGAUUGAUCAAGGCCAUGGGGUGACAUUUAAAGUAAAUGCAAGCUUUCCAGAAGUAACAAAAGCCUAUACUUUUUAUUUAAAAAAUUUAAAAAAAGAUAAAAACUCUAUGGGCCAAUCCAUCAGGUACUUUGAACAAUUUUACCAGAUAUGGGAUAAAUAUAUUUGGAUGACUCCAGAAAAAGGCCAAUCUAUUGUCCCUGCCCCUAUCUGUUGGGAGCAAAGGGGAUAAAAGAUUGGAUUUGGUGACGGUCCCAUAGAUCCAAAAGAAUUAAAAUACGUGCGAUACUUGUCCUCUGAGCAACGUGAACGAACAUAAGAGGUCACUUAUCGCCCAGAUUUACCAGCUCGCUGGCCUGGCUCAGACUGGAAGUGCAACCCUGGGAUCUGAUGGGUGGCCCCAAUGGCACCCAAUGACUAUAUGGAUCGAACUUACGGCCUUGGCUUCCAGUCAGUUGGGUCGGCCGCUACACUUUAGGAUUUGCCUUUGCUCAUGGAAGUAUUAAGCCAUCCUUACAACAAGCCCCAGUAGAUUUGCCUUAUUGACAUACAGUUGGCAAGGUCUGUAUUUCAAUGGUAUGAUUACACAGCUGCGUUGUUUGUACCAUCUAUAGAAACAACAGAUAUUAUGAUUAAAGUAGAAGCUCUAACUAACUUCAUGAAACAGGCCCUCCUGGACAACACAAAGGCAAUCCAAGUUUUAAAUGCAGAACAAAUACAAAUGAGAAAGACAGUGAUUCAAAAUUUGAUGACUUUUGACAUAUUUGGGCUUCCCUGGUGGCUCAGAGGUUAAAGCGUCUGUCUGUAAUGCUCAAGACCUGGGUUCAAUCCCUGGGUCGGGAAGAUCCCCCUGGAGAAGGAAAUGGCAACCCACUCCAGUAUUCUUGCCUUGAGAGUCCCAUGGACGGAGUAGCCUGGUGGGCUACAGUCCACGGGGUCGCAAAGAGUCGGACACGACUGAGCGACUUCACUUUCUAACUUUCACUUUCUUUGACAUACUUAUAGCUGCCCAGGAGAGACCUGUGCUACAAUUAAUGUUAAAUGUUGUGUAUAUAUCUCUGACUUAUCUGGCAAUGUAUCAGCUGCUCUAGACAACAUGAAAAACCUGGUAAAAGCUAUGUCAAAUGAUAAUCCUCCUUUUUGGACGUUUGGUAUUUUCUUGGAUCAAAGGUGACUGGUAGAAAAAUCUUUUUGUAAUUAUUUUGUUCAUCAUUGUAUUACUAAUUUGGGGGCCUUGCAUUCUCCAGCAUAUACCUCGAUGUGUAGCCUCCAGACUGACAGCCCUGCUGCAGUUACAUAGUCCCUGCGUACAAUGCCUACCCACGACUGAUGCCCAUCGUUAAAGAUAAGAUGAGCGUCAAGAGGGGGCAAUGUUGGGGCCAGUGUGAGGAAAGCAGGAGAGACUCCAUCUUGAAGCCUGUCAUCCAUCUUAAAGGCAGGAUGUAAACUGGGCCUGAACCCUGCCCAAGAGUGAGGAAACCAUUGCUAAUGAAAACCAGGUCUCCUGGAGACUCCCCUCCCUACAGAUGGCAAAUGGAGACUGUAUUGAGGUCAGGCUGCCCCUGUUGGAGUAACCAUGAAACAUCCCCCCUUGAUGUAUAAUCAUCGUUUUCCCUCCCUUUAACCUUAACUGCUAGUCCUCCUAGCACCUACUUGUAAAACUCAGUCAUAUACAACAAAGAGGUUGCUAAUGUGUAAUCAGUCAUGUAGCGGGGAGUAUAAAACUGGGCCUCUCAGAAACAUCAGGGUCCUUGUUGGGAACCGAUUCCCCUUGGACCCGCUGGUGUAAUAAACUAUACUCCACUGUCUUGAGUAUCCUCCA
ensembl:lncRNA